rnacentral:tRNA from 1 species
AGCUCGAUGGUCUAGUGGUACGAUUCUCGCUUCGGGUGCGAGAGGUCCCGGGUUCAAGCCCCGGUCGAGCCC